AGUGUCAAGGGAUGGGAAUCGAACCCACGACCUUCCGCUUACCGGGCAGUCUACUUAUAUAAUUGCCUUAUUCUGUCUGUGUGACCGGGCAGAUGCCAUGACCACUAGGCUAUAGGCUC